CCAUCCUUCAUCACCCUACCAUAGAAACAUUUGAUGUCUUCAUUUCUUUAUAAAACUACCAUGUCAUAUGAAACUUACACUAAAUAGAUUUGUAUACUUUUCCCUUAAUAACCUGACUUUUGCUUAAAGGGGCUUCAGUGGCCAUGGAUUUAGAGCAGUAGAAAGAACAGAUAUUCUCCUUCUGUAUAUGUGCAAUUGAUCAAUGACAUAAAUCUAGGCUCUUGAGAUAUCAAUUAUGAAUUAUAAAACACAAGUCACAAAAGAGGACAAAUGGAAGUAUCUAGUGAGACUCUUUAGGGAACCUAACAUCUGAUUCACCCUGCAGUGAGCAUCACAUGCAAUAUCCUCAAGAUUUCUCUAGCCUGUGUCCUGACUUUCUGUACUCAUUGUGACCUGGCCUUUGAGGUAGCGUUUACUCAACAAAGUGAAGUAGCCACUCAGGAAACAAGCUGAGGCAGAACUCCCCUUAUGCUCCCCAGGAAGUUCCCACUGGCCCUCAGAGAAGAUGAUGAUGGCUCCCUACUGCCAGUGACCACCAAUGCACAUUUCCUGAAAUGACACACACAAGACCAUCAGAGGUGGAGAAGAUGACAAGUUCAGCUUUGAAGAGGCUGCUUCCUUUCAAGGAUGGCUAUGCUGGACUGUCCCAAACAAUGAGCAUGGGGAAGCUAUGAGGAAAUCAGUCAGGGUGGUUGUGGCUAAUGGAUGGGAUCAUUUGAGACUACAGAUGAUAAGAGGAGUUCAAAGGCUAUGGGUGGAACUCAGGUAACA
rnacentral:lncRNA from 1 species